GCUAAUACCGGAUAAUAUUUUGAACCGCAUGGUUCAAAAGUGAAAGACGGUCUUGCUGUCACUUAUAGAUGGAUCCGCGCUGCAUUAGCUAGUUGGUAAGGUAACGGCUUACCAAGGCAACGAUGCAUAGCCGACCUGAGAGGGUGAUCGGCCACACUGGAACUGAGACACGGUCCAGACUCCUACGGGAGGCAGCAGUAGGGAAUCUUCCGCAAUGGGCGAAAGCCUGACGGAGCAACGCCGCGUGAGUGAUGAAGGUCUUCGGAUCGUAAAACUCUGUUAUUAGGGAAGAACAUAUGUGUAAGUAACUGUGCACAUCUUGACGGUACCUAAUCAGAAAGCCACGGCUAACUACGUGCCAGCAGCCGCGGUAAUACGUAGGUGGCAAGCGUUAUCCGGAAUUAUUGGGCGUAAAGCGCGCGUAGGCGGUUUUUUAAGUCUGAUGUGAAAGCCCACGGCUCAACCGUGGAGGGUCAUUGGAAACUGGAAAACUUGAGUGCAGAAGAGGAAAGUGGAAUUCCAUGUGUAGCGGUGAAAUGCGCAGAGAUAUGGAGGAACACCAGUGGCGAAGGCGACUUUCUGGUCUGUAACUGACGCUGAUGUGCGAAAGCGUGGGGAUCAAACAGGAUUAGAUACCCUGGUAGUCCACGCCGUAAACGAUGAGUGCUAAGUGUUAGGGGGUUUCCGCCCCUUAGUGCUGCAGCUAACGCAUUAAGCACUCCGCCUGGGGAGUACGACCGCAAGGUUGAAACUCAAAGGAAUUGACGGGGACCCGCACAAGCGGUGGAGCAUGUGGUUUAAUUCGAAGCAACGCGAAGAACCUUACCAAAUCUUGACAUCCUUUGACAACUCUAGAGAUAGAGCCUUCCCCUUCGGGGGACAAAGUGACAGGUGGUGCAUGGUUGUCGUCAGCUCGUGUCGUGAGAUGUUGGGUUAAGUCCCGCAACGAGCGCAACCCUUAGCUUAGUUGCCAUCAUUAAGUUGGGCACUCUAAGUUGACUGCCGGUGACAAACCGGAGGAAGGUGGGGAUGACGUCAAAUCAUCAUGCCCCUUAUGAUUUGGGCUACACACGUGCUACAAUGGACAAUACAAAGGGCAGCGAAACCGCGAGGUCAAGCAAAUCCCAUAAAGUUGUUCUCAGUUCGGAUUGUAGUCUGCAACUCGACUAUCAUGAAGCUGGAAUCGCUAGUAAUCGUAGAUCAGCAUGCUACGGUGAAUACGUUCCCGGGUCUUGUACACACCGCCCGUCACACCACGAGAGUUUGUAACACCC
rnacentral:rRNA from 1 species